UUUCAUCCUCUCUGCAGUCAACUAAGUAUUGAAAAAAAGACGUAUUGAAGAGGAUUUAAUUCUCCAUCACUAUAAUUUAUACUUGGGGAGCUUUGAAUAGCGUAAAAAUUCUAUGUUUGAGCUUGAAAA